CACAGUAACAGAGGGAUUGAGGGCCUGCUCAGUGAGUUUACAUGUUAGAGGGAGUGAGGUAUAGUGACAGUAACAGAGGGAUUGAGGGCCCUGCUCAGUGAGUUUACAUGUUAGAGGGAGUGGGGUAUAGUGACAGUAACAGAGGGAUUGAGGGCCCUGCUCAGUGAGUUUACAUGUUAGAGGGAGUGGGGUAUAGUGACACAGUAACAGAGGAUUGAGGGCCUGCUCAGUGAGUUUACAUGUUAGAGGGAGUGGGGUAUAGUGACACAGUAACAGAGGGAUUGAGGCCCUGCUCAGUGGGUUUACAUGUUAGAGGGAGUGG